rnacentral:tRNA from 1 species
GUCCCCAUCGACUAGAGGCCUAGGACACCGCCCUUUCACGGCGGUAACAGGGGUUCGACUCCCCUAGGGGACGCCA